GAUGAACGCUGGCGGCGUGCUUAACACAUGCAAGUCGAACGAUGAACCCGGAGCUUGCUCCGGUGGAUUAGUGGCGAACGGGUGAGUAACACGUGAGUAACCUGCCCUUGACUCUGGGAUAACUGCGGGAAACUGUAGCUAAUACCGGAUACGACCCUCGGCGGCAUCGCCAGGGGGUGGAAAGAAUUUCGGUCAAGGAUGGACUCGCGGCCUAUCAGCUAGUUGGUGAGGUAACGGCUCACCAAGGCGACGACGGGUAGCCGGCCUGAGAGGGUGACGGGCCACUCUGGGACGGAGACACGGCCCAGACUCCUACGGGGGGCAGGAGUGGGAAAUAUUGCACAAGGGGCGCAAGCCGGAUGCAGCAACGCCGCGGGAGGGAUGACGGCCUUCGGGUUGUAAACCUCUUUUAGUAGGGAAGAAGCGAAAGGGACGGUACCUGCAGAAAAAGCACCGGCUAACUACGUGCCAGCCGCCGCGGUAA
rnacentral:rRNA from 1 species